CCCACCCAGCCUUUUUAAAGUCUCCAGCACUUUGUUUCAGCCAGGUUGAGUGCAAUUCACAUUGGACCCUUUUUCCUAUUGCAAUAGUGUUACUGAAUAAAAUCUGUCCUCCAGCUUUGACUCAUGUCCAGCUUUGUCUUUAUUAUGUUGCAUUAACUGCAGUUGUUGCAGAAAUGUAUUGUUGUCUAAAAAAUAUAUAUAUGCACAACCUAAAAGUUGAGAGUUAAGUGUUUUUUGGGGCAAAUGAGGACUUAAGACCAGGAGGCACCAUCUCAGUUAACCCUGAGAAAACCAUUCCAAGGAGGCAAGGGGGAGCUAGAAUAUACAGGAGUUUCGCAACAAAGGGCUGGUAGUGGGGAUAAAAGAUAACUGUUAGUAUGGAAAACUAGACAGUUAAAGAAUUGAGCACUUUUUUAUAUAUGGGAAGAUGCAAGUUCUGGGCUCGCUCACGGAAGUCAUUUCUUUGAUAGGUACCCCAGCUAUGUGGGGCCAGUAUCCUGUGUUUUCACAUCCUCUGUGUUUUCACAUCAUCAGUUUCCUCUGGAUGCACCAGGGAGUGGCUGAUGGCUACUGGGUGGCAGGUAUUCUUGGUUUCCUUCCCAAGUUCCCUCAGGGCUCACGGGCCCGGAGGUGGCUGCAAUCAGUGAUGCCUGUGACACCCUUUGUUUACGGGUAUGGCAGGCGAUAUUUUAUUUCUCGAGUAUUUUACGCCACAGUUUGGUAGCAUUUCCACUCAGGAGAUAAGCACUGGGCAGCUGCAUGUUGGAUCUGUGUUGAGGGACAAUGCUCUCUGGUCUCCUGUGUUUCUGCACAUCUUGUUUACAGAGGCACUGAUGGCCUUGGUUUGAGACCAUCUUCUCAAGGGAGUUUAUGUCGUGACCAACCUUGGAGGAUAAAGUUAGUAUCUCCCUUCGGAGCAAAGUGCAGGUUUCUUUAUUGCCCAGUAUAAUAAAGAUAGUAUCUCCCUUCAGGACAAGUGCUAAAAAGGCUCACUGCCCAUUCUAAAAGGUUUAGGUUUCCCAUCUUUGGUAGAGAUUCCUCUCCUAUAAUGCAACUCACUGUGUGUUGUUACCAUCUGCCCCUCUUUGUGUUGCCCUCUGGGAAUCAGGGUUCGGGGAGCCAGUGGCUCAGAGAUCACAGGAGAAACUGGAUGAUGCAACCUGGAAGUGUAGGCAUUAACUCCAACUCCCCAUGGCAUGAACUUUUUGUUUUGGCCCUGCCCAUGGCAUGUGGAAGUUCCCAGGCCAGGGUUUGAAGCUGUGGUGUAGCAGUGACCCAAGCCCCUGCAGUGACAACAUCAGAUCCUUAACCCGCUGAACCACAAGAGAACUCCUCCAUGGGGUGAACUUUAAUCAGUGGGAAAGAUGAGACAGGAGGGAGCUGAGCAAAUACAUUCCCGCUCCUCCCGCUUCUUCUUUCCCAGGCCACAAGGCAUCUUUGCAGUCCGUUAAGGGAAAUCCUGUGUGCCAGGUGGAUGCACCUGCCUGUGGCCUGCUCUGUGUUUUAAGGCUUCUUCUACAGUGGGAGCCAGGCAGUAAUGUCACUUCACAUUGCUUCACAGCUUUUCUUGCCUCCCUUCCUUUUCCUCAACCCCACUGUCCUGGGUUUGCCCUUCCUGACUGAAAGAGCCCUGCCUUAUUCACUCAUUAUCUGCCUCAGGCUCAGUCUUCUGGAGAAUCCAGGCCAAGGUAGUGGCUAAGCAAAGAAGGAGGACUGCAGAUUGUAGAAUAUACAGUUGAAAAGCAUGCUCUCGAGAACACACACUCUAGAAGCAUAAAUAAACAAUUUCCUAAAAUUCAAUAGAUAAGUGCUCCUAUAGAAACAUGUAUAACUCUAUAAAAUGUACUAGAGACUUAAAUGAAAGCUGAUUAAUUUCGGAGAGUGGGUGGGGAUGUCACAGCAAACCCCAGAAAAGAGGUGUGCAGGAGCCUGGUUUGCUGUAACAAAGUACCACAAACUGAGUGGCUUAAACUACAGAAUCUUGGAGGUCCCAUUGCGGCUCAUUGGUAAAGAAUCCGACUAGUAUCCAUGAGGAUGUGGUUACCAUCCGUGACCAUGAUCAGUGGCUUAGGGAUCCAGCAUUGCCAUGAGCUGUGGUGUAGGUCACAGACACGUGGCUCAGAUCUGGAGAUGCUGUGGCUGUAGAAUAGGCUGGCAGUGGUAGCUCUGAUUCAACACCUAGCCUGGGAAAGUCCAUACGCUGCAGGUGCAGCCUUAAAAAGCAAAAACAAAACAAAACCCAACCCCCUUCCCUGAAAAAAAACUCCAAUAGAAUCUUAUUGUCUUGUGGUUCUGGAGGCAAGAAGUUAGAGAUCAAAGGGUUGGUAGCAGUGGUUCCUUCUGAGGGCCAUGAAGGAAGGAUCUGUUCCAUACCUUUCUGCCAGCCUCUGGUGAUUGUGGCAAGCCUUGGCAGUCUUUGGCGUGUAGAUCUUUGCCUUCACCUUUACAUGAUAUUUUCCCUGUGUGGAUGUCUGUGUCCACAUUUCCUCUUUUUUAUAAAGACAGCAGGGGCCCAGCCUAGUCUAGUAUGACCUCAUCUUAACCAAUUCCAUCUGCAACAACUCUAUUUCCAGAUAAGGUCACAUUCUAAGUUACUGAGGACUAGGAUUUCAACAUAAAAUUUUGAAGGGACACAAUUCAACCCAUAGGAAGAUGGUACGUUUGAGAUGGACCUCAAAAGUUUAGUAGGAGUUUGCAGUGGAGGUUAUGCAGCUCAUAAAUGACAUGUGGGUGUGUGGAGUUUGGGAAACACCUGGUUAAUUUUAGGAAUGGCCAGAAUCUAGUGUGGCUGGACAGCAGGGCUGGUUCAAGGCAUGAAGGAACUGACUGGAGAUGAUUGCGACAAACAGGUUAGAGGCUUCAUGUGUCACAACGAGGAGACAGUCCUUUACUCUGUAGUCCAUUGGAAGCUACCCAAUGUUUGGUCAAGAUUAUUUGGAGUUCCCGUUGUGGCUCAGCAGGUUAAGAGCCCCAUAUAGUGUCUGUGAGGAUGAAGGUUCAAUCCUUGGUCUCACUCUGUGGGUUAAGGACCAGGCCUUGCCCCAGUCUGUGGCAUAGGUCACAGAUGUGGCUGUGGCUCAGAUCCAGUGCUGCUGUGGCUGUGCCUGUGGUGUAAACCCACAGCGGCAGCUCAGAGUUGACCCCUAGCCCAAGAACUUCCAUAUGCUGCAGAUGCGGCCAUACAACAAAGAGGAAAAAAGAGACUACUUCUUCCUAAUUACAGAAGCACCUGGCAUGUGUAACAUGUCAUUUGGGACUUCUCUACCAUUUGGAGGCUUUCAUAUGGCUUGAACCCCAAGUUUGGCACUUGUUAGAAUCCUGAGCUUCCCCUGCUCCCCCCCCAGCAACUUUAUAUUUCUCUUCCUGGGGUGUGGCUUCUUACUAA
ensembl:lncRNA